UGUGUAGGCGGUUUGGUAAGUCUGGUGUGAAAUCUCCCGGCUCAACUGGGAGGGUGCGCCGGAAACUGCCGGACUCGAGUGCGGGAGAGGAGAGUGGAAUUCCUGGUGUAGCGGUGAAAUGCGUAGAUAUCAGGAGGAACACCGGUGGUGUAGACGGCUCUCUGGACCGUAACUGACGCUGAAACACGAAAGCGUGGGUAGCAAACAGGAUUAGAUACCCUGGUAGUCCACGCCCUAAACGAUGCAUAUUUGGUGUGGGUCAUUCAGUUGAUCCGUGCCGGGGCUAACGCGUUAAAUAUGCCGCCUGGGGAGUACAGUCGCAAGGCUGAA
rnacentral:rRNA from 1 species